GUCGUCAGCUCGUGCCGUGAGGUGUUGGUUAAGUCCGCACGAGCGCAACCCCUAUUCUCAGUUGCCAGCACAUAAGUGGUGGGCACUCUGUGGAGGAACUGCCCGGGUUAACCGGGAGGAAGGUGGGGGAUGACGUCAAGUCAUCAUGGCCCUUACGCCUAGGGCUACACACGUACUACAAUGGUGGGUACAAAGGGCAGCGAAACCGCGAGGUCGAGCGAAUCUCAAAAAAACCCAUCAUAGUCCGGAUUGCAGUCUGCAACUCGACUGCAUGAAGUUGGAAUCGCUAGUAAUCCCCGGAUCAGCAUGCCGGGGUGAAUACGUUCCCGGGCCUU
rnacentral:rRNA from 1 species